UACGUAGGGUGCGAGCGUUAAUCGGAAUUACUGGGCGUAAAGCGUGCGCAGGCGGUUCGUUGUGUCGGCGGUGAAAGCCCCGGGCUUAACCUGGGAAUGGCCGUUGAAACUGGCGAACUGGAGUGUGGCAGAGGGGGGUGGAAUUCCGCGUGUAGCAGUGAAAUGCGUAGAGAUGUGGAGGAAUACCGAUGGCGAAGGCAGCCUCCUGGGCCAACACUGACGCUCAUGCACGAAAGCGUGGGGAGCAAACAGG
rnacentral:rRNA from 1 species